rnacentral:lncRNA from 1 species
GUUCUGUAGCUGCAGCCUUGUCUCUGUCCCUUCUCCCGAGAAGAUCCACAUCUCUAAGGAGGAAACAAGACGCAACAGCAUCCUCUUCUAUACAACUGUCUAUGUCCCCUGGCUGUCACUCUUAAGAAUCCAGGUAUGCAGGAGCAAGCCAGGUGAAGACGGGUGCAAUUGGGACCUGGGCUGCCGGGAGCUCAGACAGAGCUCGGACGCUUGCUUCCCUUCCCAAAUCUUAAAGGACUGUGCUUUCUGGUUACCAGAAAUAUUAGAAUCAAGACCCUCCUGCAAGCAAACUUGUCUCUGAGCUCAGGAGCAUUCCUGAGUCCCUCCUGGCUAGAUUGUCCCCAAGUCCAGCUAUCCUGCUUCCCAGGGCCACCAACUGGAUCCAAGGACCAGGGUGUGUGCAGGCUCCAGCAAAUCUCAGAAGAAUGUGCUGUGUGUCUCCAUUCCAUUUCUCACAGUCUUACCAAAAAUCAGUGGCCAGACAGCCUUGUAGCCAAACGCUGAGGAGUGACAGACAGCCCAAAGCUGUGAUCCACCCAGCCCCUCGAAGCGGCACCAAGGUGAGACUUGAGGCAAGGGUGGCAGUAUUUUUUCAGCUUCUGCUUUUCCAAGUCUCCAGUCUUUGGUCAGUUCUGAACAUCCAAGUCUCCAGUUCUUGGUCAGUCCUGAACAUCCAUUGGAAACAAUUUUGAGCCUAGGCUCAGGUGGUGGACAGACUCCACAUGGAGUGAAGGGGUCUGCCAACCAUCACCUUCCAUGGGACAAGAAAAGCCAAUCAGAUCACCUCCCAUGCCCAACCAGUCACCUACCUGCCUCAGCUCUGGACUCUGAGCUCUGCCAGCACCAGAAAUUUGAGUCAAGCCAGAUCAGCCCUAUCAGACAGCGAUGGUGUUCCCACUGAAAGAACCCCAAGAGGAUGCAGCCCAAAUGCAAAUUUAAUAUUCUGGUGGUUGGAUUGUCUUUCCUCCCCCUUGGGUUUGUUCUGUUGUGUGGUGUUGGGGACCUAACUAGGGCCUUGGCUGUGUCAGACAAGUGCUCCACCCUGCGCUACAUCUGCAGCCCCUGAAUGUAUUAAUUUGGAAUGUGGUUCUGAUCAGUUUCUCCCAUCCCUAAAAUUCCUGGUAAUCUGGUUUGUUCCAGAGCCAAAUAAAACAGACAAG